rnacentral:rRNA from 1 species
UGCACGCCUUUCUCUUUCAUCCAUACACACCUGUGCACCUGUGAGACAGAUUUAGGGGAACUUUCAUUUUUUUUGAGGGGGACCCUGCUGUCUAUUUAAUUUAUAUAAACUCAAUUUAUUUUAAAAUGAAUGUAAUGGAUGUAACACAUCUAAUACUAAGUUUCAACAACGGAUCUCUUGGCUCUCGCAUCGAUGAAGAACGCAGCGAAAUGCGAUAAGUAAUGUGAAUUGCAGAAUUCAGUGAAUCAUCGAAUCUUUGAACGCACCUUGCGCUCCUCGGUAUUCCUUGGAGCAUGCCUGUUUGAGUAUCGUGAAAUCUUCAAAGUAAAUCUUUUGUUCACUCAAUUGGUUCUACUUUGGUAUUGGAGGUUUAUUGCAGCUUCACACCUGCUCCUCUUUGUGCAUUAGCUGGAUUCUCAGUGUUAUGCUUGGUUCCACUCGGCGUGAUAAGUUAAAUUUAAUCGCUGAGGACACACUCUCUAUAACCAAAAAAAGGGGGGGUGGCCAUGGUAAAUACAGAUGAACCCGCUUCUAAUAGUCCAUUGGCUUGGACAAAAAUUAUUUAUUACGAUCUGAUCUCAAAUCAGGUAGGACUACCCG